ACCUUCUGUGGUGUAGUUGGUAGCACCAAGGCACAUUAAAGAUGUGUCCUAGGUUCAAAUCCCGGUUUGGGUA